AGUGAACGCUGGCGGUAGGCCUAACACAUGCAAGUCGAACGGCAGCACAGUAAGAGCUUGCUCUUACGGGUGGCGAGUGGCGGACGGGUGAGGAAUACAUCGGAAUCUACUUUUUCGUGGGGGAUAACGUAGGGAAACUUACGCUAAUACCGCAUACGACCUACGGGUGAAAGCAGGGGAUCUUCGGACCUUUCGCGGUUGAAUGAGCCGAUGUCGGAUUAGCUGGUUGGCGGGGUAAAGGCCAACCCAGGCGACGAUCCGUAGCUGGUCUGGGUGGAUGGUCGGCCGCACUGGAGCUGGGACACGGUCCAGGCUCCUACGGGAGGGAGCAGUGGGGAAUGUUGGACAAUGGGCGGGAGCCUGAUCCAGUCAUACCGCGUGGGUGAAGAAGGCCUUCGGGUUGUAAAGCCCUUUUGUUGGGAAAGAAAAGCAGCAGGUUAAGACGCCGCGGUUCUGACGGUACCCAAAGAAUAAGCACCGGCUAACUUCGUG
rnacentral:rRNA from 1 species